CAGUAGCCGCGGUAAUACGUAGAGUGCGAGCGUUAAUCGGAAUUACUGGGCGUAAAGCGUGCGCAGGCGGUUGUGUAAGACAGGUGUGAAAUCCCCGGGCUUAACCUGGGAACUGCGCUUGUGACUGCACAGCUAGAGUAUGGCAGAGGGGGGUGGAAUUCCACGUGUAGCAGUGAAAUGCGUAGAGAUGUGGAGGAACACCGAUGGCGAAGGCAGCCCCCUGGGCCAAUACUGACGCUCAUGCACGAAAGCGUGGGGAGCAAGCAGGAUUAGAUACCCGCGUAGUCCCUGUCUCUUAUAC
rnacentral:rRNA from 1 species